UAGAGCUUGCUUUAGUGGAAACCGGCGCACGGGUGCGUAACACGUAUGCAACCUACCUCUAACUGGGGAAUAGCCUCCCGAAAGGGAGAUUAAUACCGCAUAACAUCACGAAAGGGCAUCCUUUUGUGAUCAAACCUCCGGGGGUUAGAGAUGGGCAUGCGUCCGAUUAGCUUGUUGGUGAGGUAACGGCUCACCAAGGCUACGAUCGGUAGGGGGUCUGAGAGGACGAUCAGCCACACUGGGACUGAGACACGGCCCAGACUCCUACGGGAGGCAGCAGUAAGGAAUAUUGGACAAUGGGCGCAAGCCUGAUCCAGCCAUGCCGCGUGCAGGAUGACGGCCCUAUGGGUUGUAAACUGCUUUUAUAUAGGAAGAAACCCCCCGACGUGUCGGGGGUUGACGGUACUAUACGAAUAAGGGUCGGCUAACUCCGUGCCAGCAGCCGCGGUAAUACGGAGGACCCAAGCGUUAUCCGGAUUUAUUGGGUUUAAAGGGUGCGUAGGCGGAUUUAUAAGUCAGUGGUGAAAUCCUACAGCUUAACUGUAGAACUGCCAUUGAUACUGUAGAUCUUGAGUACGGUUGAGGUGGGCGGAAUGUGUCAUGUAGCGGUGAAAUGCUUAGAUAUGACACAGAACACCAAUUGCGAAGGCAGCUCGCUAAACCGUAACUGACGCUGAGGC
rnacentral:rRNA from 1 species